rnacentral:rRNA from 1 species
GAUCCGGGGAUUUCCGAAUGGGGAAACCUAGCACCAGUCAUGUGGUGUUGCCGCCGUCUGAAUGUAUAGGGCGGUUGGUGGUAACGCGGGGAAGUGAAACAUCUCAGUACCCGUAGGAGAAGAAAACAAUAGUGAUUCCGUGAGUAGUGGUGAGCGAAAGCGGAGGAGGCUAAACCGUGCGCGUGUGAUAGCCGGCGGGCGUUGCGUGUGCGGGGUUGUGGGAGCCUUCUGGAUGGUCCGCCGAUCGUCCGGGGAGUGAUAAAUCCGUCUGAUAGUCGAACGCUCUGGGAAGGGCGGCCGUAGACCGUGAUAGCCGGGUAGGCGAAAUCGGAUCGACUCCCGAGGGUUUUCCCGAGUAGCACGGGGCUCGAGGAAUCCUGUGUGAAUCUGCCAGGACCACCUGGUAAGCCUAAAUACUUCCUGGUGACCGAUAGUGGACGAGUACCGUGAGGGAAAGGUGAAAAGCGCCCCGGUGAGGGGUUGUGAAAUAGUACCUGAAACCGUGUGCCUACAAGCCGUAGGAGCGUAAACAGGUUCGCCUGUUUGUGAUGUGACUGCGUGCCUUUUGAAGAAUGAGCCUGCGAGUUAUGGUGUGUGGCGAGGUUAACCCGUGUGGGGGAGCCGUAGCGAAAGCGAGUCUGAAUAGGGCGUUUGAGUCGCAUGCUGUAGACCCGAAGCGGGGUGAUCUACGCAUGGGCAGGUUGAAGCGUGGGUAAGACUGCGUGGAGGACCGAACCCACCAGGGUUGAAAACCUGGGGGAUGACCUGUGUGUAGGGGUGAAAGGCCAAUCAAACUCCGUGAUAGCUGGUUCUCCCCGAAAUGCAUUUAGGUGCAGCGUUGCGUGUGCUUGCCGGAGGUAGGGCUCUGGUUGGCUGAUGGGCCCGACAAGGUUACUGACGUCAGCCAAACUUCGAAUGCCGGUAAGUUGAGCGUGGCAGUGAGACUGCGGGGGAUAAGCUCCGUGGUCGAGAGGGAAACAGCCCAGAUCACCGACUAAGGCCCCUAAGCGUGUGCU